rnacentral:rRNA from 1 species
UACGUAGGGUGCAAGCGUUAAUCGGAAUUACUGGGCGUAAAGCGUGCGCAGGCGGUUGUGCAAGACAGAUGUGAAAUCCCCCGGGCUUAACCUGGGAAUUGCAUUUGUGACUGCACGGCUAGAGUGUGUCAGAGGGGGGUAGAAUUCCACGUGUAGCAGUGAAAUGCGUAGAUAUGUGGAGGAACACCGAUGGCGAAGGCAGCCCCUGGGUCAAGAUUGACGCUCAUGCACGAAAGCGUGGGGAGCAAACAGG